rnacentral:lncRNA from 1 species
AAUAUGUGGACAGGACCUUAAUCAGCAUCCUGGAAGUGGAAAGCACGGAAGGCCUGUGUCCCACAUCACAGACAGGUAAUGCGUUGCUCCUUAAGCAGGGGCCUGUUUGACGGAUAGUCCCAUCUAAUACUCACCGCACAUUUUAGCCUCAGAGCGAAACGUGCUGCGCACUCCGUCUGACUCGUCAGCCGAACAAACUCUCCUCUCUCUGCUUCUAGGUGCAGCGUGUAGCCAAAGCAGCACAGGGGGGGGGCCCCGUGGGGAGGAGGGGGCGGUGCAGCAGCGCACCCCUCCGGCUGUGGGUGUGCUGGGCGGCGACCCCCGGGAGGCUGCGCGGGAUGUGGAAGGGUCAUCCCAGCAUGCCCCGCAGCCGGUCACUGCUGAGAGGUGCCGGCACAUCGGUGAGAAGAACGUGUGCCCGGAGAAUUGCCCCGCCAUUGACCCAGAGGAGCCCGGUCUCUCUACAGAGUGUCACAAACACUCUGAUACACAGACAGAUAAAGCUUUGCAGUAUUCCCAUUUCGGGCCACAGGCUGAUAACAGUGGGCACCCAGGCAGGCCGGCGAGUGGGACAGAGUGGGUUGAUGUUGAAGCAGGCCGGGACCACGCGCUGCAGCCGGGAAGUACAGGUGGACUGGUGGUCAUCAGUGGCACAGACACGGGACAGGAUCUCCCGGAGAAUGAGAAAUUGGAAUAUAAACGUGAGUUUGGAACGGAGGAACAUGCCGGUGUACGUUCAUCAACAAACCUCCCCUCGGAAUCCUGCUCAACAGCCUCCCCUCUUACCCUCAGCCCAAAUAAAGAUACAGUCCCGCACCGCGCACAAGAAAGAGGAAUGGAUCGGCCGCGGACAACUCCGCCUACUCCGGCCAGCCAGGCCAGCCAUGUACCUCUGUCUCAAGUCAGCGAGAAACCAGGCCUUCCCCCAAAUGCUGAGCACCCUCCACCCCCGGGGCCCAUCACAGGCCAUAACGAUGGGACACAAACGGACGUCUCCACGGGACCUAAAAUCACUACGCAGGACUCGAGUGAUGGCAAGGGAGCAAUAUGUGGUGCUAGUGCAGAUGAGCGGGGACCACAGGAAACGGGAGGAUCUACAGGGAAGUGCGAGACCGGACGUGCCACGCACGGGAGUUCACACCCACCGACGCCGCUCCCAUCAACUAAAGUGUCAUGGACCCCUCAGGGGGGAGAGACACACCCCGGACUGGUCCCCUACACACCACCUGGCAGUGGAAAUUCCACCCCGAACUACUCAGCCGAGCGACAGGGAAGCGAGAGCGACCCCCAGAACAGUCCCCCACGUGCAGCAGUGGAACAGACGGAGACCAACAGGGCAGAGGUGGACCCUGAAGUUGCCGAUCUCUCGCCGGACCUUACGAUCCGGCCACAAAGCUCUCCUCGUCCGGAGAUGCCCAGCACGGCACCAACGGCGCCAGCCCCUGCCGUCUGCCACCUCCACAGGACAGAACUAGACUUAAUGCAGACAGACCAGCCUGUCCAAGUUCAGACUGCCGAUUCGGACACCCCACUGGCCUCUGAGCUCUCGAUCCCGGCGAUUGCUCACGGCGCCGUGGUGCUUGGCGGAGAGAGCGGCCUGGAGUUUUCAGAGGAGUUGCAAGUGAAUCAGUGUGUCUUCCUGAAAGAACAUGUUAGCGGGGACGCUGCUGUUGUUGAGUUGCACGCUGAUCUCUCUGCCGGAGAACCCAAGUCAUUUAUAGAAGGGACCCAUUCAGAAAUCGGAAUGGCUUCGCUGGCUGGGGCAGAAUUUGAGAUUUAUAGCUUUGUGGAGGAGGAGAUUGCGACAGAGGUUGUCGAAGACCGGCUGUCUCUCUCCCCGAGCUAUGAGGUAAACUUAUUCACCCCGGUCAUUGAACACUCCGAGAGUGAGGGACAACACAUACACGUAUUGUCUUCCCUGCAAAUGGCUAAUGACGACAGUCACGUCGUCUUGCAGCACGGCCCCCUUACGUCAGAUCACGGCCUCUUAGAAAUGGAGGUGUGCUCAAAUGACUUCACCCCAACCAUCUCCCCACACGACACGGGGAUGUCUGAUGAAGGGCAGAAUUUCCAGGCCGAAAACACAACUGCGGAAGUGUCCGCGGCGGAAGGGUCGGCUAAUAUCUGUUUGAUUCCGACUGUCCCCGUCUUGGAUACGCCACAUGUACGGACAAACGCCGCCACGGAAGCCACGACUCGGUGUCCGGAGGCCGUCCCGGACCACAGAAGGGUGGACGUCGCCGUGGCCGCCUCCUUCGGUGACGCACAAACGCUGCCAGGGCGGACUGGAACGGGAGUGACGGCCAGUACGUCUUCCCUGGUCGUCCCAAUGGCAGAAUUAACAGAGGAGCUUGUGGAGUCAACCGGUCAGCGCUGCGCAGAGGUCCUCUCAUCCCCGAACACCGUACAUCUGUUAGAGAGCGGCGUGAUGAACUGUCCUUCACUAGACCAGGCCCCGGGACUCUCCUUAGAAAAUACCACCAUAUCCGAGCCCUGUUCUUUGUCUGUUGACGGGUCCAGUGAUCCAGAGCCCUGUCCCGCUGCCAUAGAAAUGCCGAUGCAGAUCCAGCAGGACAUUGAUUGUGCCGUUACUGUGACGACAGCCAAGGACAGCCCAGGGGCUUCCCAGUGCGCACUCCCUCCCGGCAUCAUCGACCCAAGUCUUCUCCUCCUAAAGCCCGAGGACACGGCCCUCCUCAAACGCCCGCCCUCCUUCCUGUUGGGGACGACCAGACUGCCGAGCGACGGCCGGGCACAGACCGGCGUCAGCGGCUUGGACACAGCGCCUGCAAUGGAGUGCCUUCCCGAAGCCGCGCUGGGACCUGCGCCGGCGUGCGUCUCUGUCGACCGCCACGAAGAGCAGAGCAUGUCACGUGUGGACUUGGAGCCCGGCGCGACAUCGUCUUCUACGCUCACCACGAACACCGCGUUGCAGCGCCGUCUCUCUAACCCCGCGCCAUGCAGAUCCGACGACGAGGCCUUAACUCCGAUCAAAGCGUCCCCGGGGCCAGCGGGGACCGUUUUGCGAACCCUGGACCCUCCCGACGCCCCGCCUGAGCACUUCUCCGGCCACAUGUUGCCCUCAACCUCGGGCAGUGUGUCUAGGGGUAAGCUCUUCGGUUACUCCAGCGACGGUGGCCAGGCCGGGCCACCGCCGGUCAUCCGGCCACGGCUUGCCGGUGUGAAGGGCCCGGGGUUCGGCGGCCCCAAGGACGAGAGCAGUGAUGGAGAGGAUGACCUGGCAGAGGAGGACAAGGCCAGCCACCGAAGCAUGGGUUCCCCCGGUGGAGCGGAGAGCAAGGUACGCCAGUGGAUAGCUGACAGGGUCACGCCAAGUUCAUCUCCCGUGUCCCCUGGUCCUGACCCAUCCUCCUCCAGUGACUGGACCCCCAGCACCACUCCAAUCCCUCUCAGAGGCGCCCAUGGCAGGUUCCUCUCUCCUCCCACUACGGGCCCUGGGGGUUCCUCCCCGUCGGACCCGGUCACCCCCCAUCGCCCUCGAAUGGAGCGCCACGCCGACAUGGCCGAGCUGGCCAAACACGAAGCGGAGAUAGAGGGCAGGACCCUAGCACUGAAAAAGGAAGGAUUCUGGUCGAUGAAGCGACUGACCCGUUUGACGGAGCCAGUCCGAACCAAGGUGCACUGGGACUACCUGUGUGAGGAAAUGCAGUGGCUCUCGGCAGACUUUGCCCAGGAGAGAAGGUGGAAAAGAGGGGUCGCCAGGAAGGUGGUGCGGAUGGUGAUGCGUCACCACGAGGACCUGCGGCAGAAAGAGGAGAAGGCGAAGAGGGACGAGCACGCCAAAAUCAGACGGGUCGCCUCCAACAUUGCCAAGGAGGUGCGGGCCUUCUGGAGCAGCGUGGAGAAGGUGGUGCAGUACAAGCAGCAGUCCCGGCUGGAGGAGAAGCGGAAGAAGGCUCUGGACCUCCAGCUGGACUUCAUCGUGGGCCAGACGGAGAAAUACUCCGACCUCCUCAGCCAGGCCCUGGAAACGGCCCCGGCUGGGAUCAGUGAACCUGCGUCCUCACCGCACAGACGACAUCUUCCGCCUGCCGUGGAUGAGGAGGAUAGAGACUUUGAGCCUCCAUGUGGUGAGGAGGAGGAUGACGAGGAGACCAUCGAUGUGGAGGAGGCGCAGGAUGGCAAUGAUGCUGAGACCCAGAGGAGAGAGAUUGAGCUGCUAAGACAGGAGGGGACCAUGUCCCUGGCGGAGCUGCUGAGUACCCUCAAAAGGCCCCAGUCACAGGUGGGUCCCACCCUCAAAAGUUUGGUGGACACUGACUUUCCUCCUACCCAGGAUUCAGAAGAUGAGGAAGAGUGCUCAGACAACUCGUCUACGACGGUGGACGAAGACGAGGAGUUCACAGCCAACGAAGAAGAUGCGGAAGACGAGGAGGACACCAUUGCAGCCCAGGAGAUCGUGGAGGGGGAGGCCAAUCACGCCGACGAGCUGGACGACUUGGCCAAGGAAGGUGACAUGAGUAUGGAGGAGCUGCUGGAGAAGUAUAAAGGAGCAUACGCCUCUGAUUUCGAGGAGCCCUCAACAUCCGCCUCCCCCGCUAGCUCGGACCAGUCUGAAAACUCUGGAGAAGAAGAUGAGGAGGAGGAGGAGAGCGAGGAAGAUGAAAGCAAUGAAGAUAGUGAAGAGGAAGAGGUCAGUGAAAACGAGGAGGACAGUAAUGAAGACGAGUGUGACGAGGGGAUGGAGAUCUUGCUGAAGGAGGGGGACCACAGCCCCCCACUACCAGCCGGCCAGCGACCCAAGAAGGAGAUCAGCCACAUUGCCGCCACGGCAGAGAGCCUGCAGCCCAAAGGCUACACCCUGGCCACAACCAAGGUCAAAACUCCCAUUCCGUUCCUGCUGGUGGGCCAGCUGCGGGAGUACCAGCACAUUGGCCUGGACUGGCUGGUCACCAUGUACGAGAAGAAGCUCAACGGCAUCCUGGCUGACGAGAUGGGCCUGGGGAAGACCAUCCAGACCAUCGCCUUGCUCGCUCACCUGGCCUGUGAAAAGGGUAACUGGGGGCCUCACCUGAUCAUCGUGCCGACCAGUGUGAUGCUGAACUGGGAGAUGGAGCUGAAGCGUUGGUGUCCUGGAUUCAAAAUCCUCACUUACUACGGCAGUCAGAAGGAGAGGAAACUGAAGAGACAGGGAUGGACGAAGCCCAAUGCCUUCCACGUGUGCAUCACCUCAUACAAGCUGGUGCUCCAGGACCACCAGGCCUUUCGACGCAAGUCCUGGCGGUACCUGAUCCUGGACGAGGCCCAGAACAUCAAGAACUUCAAGUCCCAGCGCUGGCAGAGCCUGCUGAACUUCAACAGCCAGAGGCGGUUGCUCCUGACGGGCACCCCUCUACAGAACAGCCUGAUGGAGCUGUGGUCCCUCAUGCACUUCCUCAUGCCCCACGUCUUCCAGUCCCACCGGGAGUUCAAGGAGUGGUUCUCCAACCCGCUCACCGGCAUGAUCGAGGGCAGCCAGGAGUACAACGAGGGCCUGGUCAAGAGGCUGCACAAGGUGCUCCGGCCGUUCCUUCUGAGGAGAAUCAAGGCGGACGUGGAGAAGCAGAUGCCUAAGAAGUACGAGCAUGUGGUCCGUUGCCGUCUGUCCAAGAGACAGCGUUUCCUCUACGAUGACUUCAUGGCACAGGCCUCCACUCGGGAAACGCUGGCCAGCGGUCACUUCAUGUCUGUGAUCAACAUCUUGAUGCAGCUCCGUAAAGUGUGUAACCACCCCAACCUGUUUGACCCGCGGCCAAUCCACUCCCCCUUCAUCACCAAGCCCAUCAUAUUCCACACAGCCUCCCUGGUGCAGCAAGCCCUGGAGAUCUCUCCAUUUAAGCGCUGUGACCUGUCCAUGUUUGACCUGCUGGGUCUAGAGGGCAGGGUUUCCCGCUACCAGGCCGACGUCUUUCUGCCCCGCCGGAAGGUCACCCGCCGGCUGAUCCAGGAGGUCAUGGAGUCCCCCGAGCCCCCGCCCCGCCCCAAACCCGUCCGCAUGAAGGUGAACAGGAUGUUCCAGCCACUACCGAAGGCGGACAGUCGCACCAUGCUGGUGGUGAACAACCCCCGGCCCACGUGUCCCGUCACCCCUGCUGCCCAAGCCCUGAGGCCCCCUUCCAUCCAGGAGGUCACCACGACCCCCACACCUUCAUCGCCGCCGUGUGUUCGGUGGCCCCCACCGCCCCGCCGCGCCCGCCCACGCACCCCGGUGGCCCCUCGGUGGCGGGCACUGCCGCCCGGGCCGGCUCCCCGAUGCACCCCACCCCUCCUCCCAGUGGUGAGCAUCGCCCAGCUGGCGUCGCUGGCCGGUCGUCCCGUUUCGUCCUGCCAGGGCAGUAAGCCUGUCACCUUCCAGCUGCAGGGCAACAAACUCACCCUGUCUGGAACCCAGCUCCACCAGGUUCCUGUGGCCCCUGCGCGCCCGGUACAAGUGCCCUCAUCCAUGGUGACCGGCUCUGGAAUUGUGAAGAUCGUUGUGCGCCAGUCGAGCAAGGAAGGAGGGGGGGUUCCGACGCUGGCUGUGCCCCCUUCGCCCCGGCUCGCCCCACAGGCAUCACCCUCCACCCUCCACCACGCCAACCCCGCUUUGAGAACUCAUGCCCCCUUGCAGACAUCACAUCGCCACCCCGGACCCGCCACCGCUCAGUACACCCUGGCCCCGCCCAGAACUCCUACCUCAGUCACAAUUAGGACCUCCACCCCAGCGCCCCCUCGUACCUCCACUCCGGCGCCGCCUCGAAUCCCUACACCUGCCCCUUCACGAACCCCGGCCCCGCCUCGAAUCCCUACGCCGGCCCCCCCUCGUACGUCUACGCCGGCCCCCCCUCGUACGUCUACGCCAGCCCCUCCACGUAUUCCUACCUCAGCCCCUGGUCAGUCUCCGAACCCUCAACCUGUCCAGAAGGCAGAAAAGGGCCCAGCAGAGACCAGCCUGGAACAGAAAGGUGAGGAGAUGGGAUCCAAAUUAAAUAAAACGGGCCCUUUAUUUCCGGUCCUUAUAUUGAAUGUUAUUUUUUUUUUGUCCUCUCCAGCUCGUGUGAAUUCUUCGUCGUCGUCGUCCUCACGAGAGGACAGUAGUGAAACGAAGUCAGCCGUUCCUAAAUCGGGGUCCCACUCAUGGCUGGCAGAGAGCCGCAAGAAGCAGCGAGAUGGACGGCUGACUCAGAUCGUCCAGAUCAACGACCUCCACUGCAGCGCCAGUCCGGUGUAUGGCUACGAGGUGCUGGACUUCCUCACUUUCCUCCCAGGCCUCUGUCCCACUCCGGCCCGCCAGGCCCUGGGUCACUGGGGCAGCUCGGGCCACGCCGCCUGCCUGUUCGCCCAGUCCCGAAGCACCACUGACUACUGGGACCAGAGCAGCGCCCUGAGGGAGGCCAUCCACACCACAGAGGACAGGCUGCAGCUGCUCCAGGAUGUCAUAGAAAGGUUUACAUUUGUGAUCCCGCCGGUGGAGGCUCCGCCCAUCACCCUGCACACCUGUCACCCUCCCCCGUCUCUGAGCCACCAGCAGGCCAUGUUCACCUCGGGUCUCUCCGCCCUGGUGGCUCCGCUAACCCGCAGUCUGCACCGCAUCCAGUGCAACAUGAGGACCCACUUCCCCGACCUGAGGCUCAUCCAGUACGACUGCGGUAAGCUGCAGACCCUCCACACUCUGUUGCGGCGGCUGAAGGAGGGUCAACACAGGGUGCUCAUCUUCACCCAGAUGACCCGCAUGCUGGACGUGCUGGAGCAGUUCCUCAACUACCACGGACACAUCUACCUCCGCCUGGACGGCAGCACCCGCAUCGAGCAGAGACAGUCCUUGAUGGAUCGUUUCAACGCCGAUCGACGAAUCUUCUGCUUCAUCCUGUCCACGCGUAGCGGAGGCGUGGGCGUGAACCUGACGGGCGCCGACACGGUGGUGUUCUACGACAGUGACUGGAACCCGACCAUGGACGCCCAGGCCCAGGAUCGCUGCCACCGCAUCGGACAGACCCGCGACGUUCACAUCUACAGGUUGAUCAGUGAGCGCACGGUUGAGGAAAACAUUCUGAAGAAGGCCAACCAGAAGAGGAUGCUGGGAGACAUGGCCAUUGAAGGAGGCAACUUCACCACUGCCUUCUUCAAACAGCAAACCAUCAGGGAGCUAUUUGACGUGACGGAGGGGGAGAAGAAGGAGGCCGUGGUGGAGCUCACCGUACCCCAGCCUGAAGAAGAAGAGGCAGUCAAUAAACAGAGCACCACCAUCCUGGAGCAGGCCCUGUGUCGCGCAGAGGACGAGGAGGACAUAGUCGCGGCCUCCCAAGCCAAAGCGGAGCAGGUAGCUGAGCUGGCCGAGUUCAACGAGGCCAUCCCGUUGGAUGAAGCCGGUGAAGGGAGGGACCCGGAAGAGGAGGAGCUUUCCAAGGCUGAGCAGGAGAUAGCAGCUCUGGUGGAGCAGCUUACUCCUAUAGAGCGCUAUGCUAUGAACUUCCUGGAGGCCUCGCUGGAAGAUGUGUGCAAGGAGGAAUUGAAGCAAGCAGAGGAGCAGGUGGAGGCAGCCAGGAAGGGGCUGGACCAGGCCAAGGAGGAGGACGACUUCUCGUCACAACCAGCGGAGGAGCCCUCGGUCCCCGGGUCAGGCCGGCGCCCACGGAAACACAGAGAGAAAGGCGCUCCCUCCACCAGGACCAGUGGCAGGCUCAGGGGGACCAUGGCCACCUCUCCAGAGCCGGAGCCAGACAGAGAAGUGCCCGACAGACUCCGUCCGGCUCCAAGGGCACGAGGGGGGACCAAAGACACCACCACCACUCCAUCCCGCACGGAGCAUCUCAGGCCACACGCCAAAACUGCAGAGACAUCUCCUGCCUCUCCUUCUAGAGACUUGGCAGUGCUGCCUCACCGCAACAAGGCCCACUCCAGCUCAGUGCCUUCCACUGCCACCAGUCCUCCAACUGGGAAACCGGAGAUGGUGGAGUCUGAUACACGGUCGCCCAGGAGGGAGAAGGGGGUGUGUGCCUCGCCAGAGUCCACAUGUCCUGUGGACCACCAGUCAUACUCUGCCCAGGCCAGGGAUGAUGACAGCAGAGACCAGGAGUCCCUGUUGCCCCCCUCUGUGUGCUCCCGGUCGCCGCGCAAGCGCCAGUCUGCCGAUGGUGAGGUCCUGCUGGGCCUUCCGGAACAUUCCCCGUCGGCCAAGGUCCUGCGGAAGCUCCCUGGUCGCCUGGUUACGGUGGUGGAGGAAAAGGAGCCCAGGAAGAGGAGGAGAAGAGGCAGCGGAACGGGAGGAGGCUCAUCCGAGGAGAUGGAGCAUGCAGAGUCGGAAUUCCCCUCAACACACUCUGUUCCACCGAGAGGCUUCCCCCCUUACUCCCCGCCACACCACUCCCCUGACAUGCCGGUACUGAGGAACCUGCCAGUGCGACAACGUCUGGAGAGUGAGUCUCACUGCAACGUUUCCCCAGGCACUAAUGUCACUAACUCAACCCCGCCGGUGAAGCGCAAGAGGGGCCGACCACCCAAGACUCCCCCGAGGGUGGCGGAACCGCAGCCAGAUCACGUAUCC